rnacentral:lncRNA from 1 species
AAAUACUGCGUAGCACUAUGCACCACAGAGAGAGACGGGGUGUGUCCAAAAGCUCGAGUUAAUAGUAAAGGCGUGUUUAAUUGUCACCUAAACCCGAACAGGUGGUUAGUAUCAUCGCUGUUACACAGGUGAGGGAGAGAACUGCCCGCGCUAGCACAGCCAACAGGCGCUGGAGCUGGGAUCUCAAGCCCUCAGCCUGGCUCUUCACAUACACUACAUCUAAGUGCCCCUCUUGGCUGAGUGGAGUUUCUUCCAGCUUGAAAGCCUAGAAUGCCUUGUCUUGCUUGCCUAGAGGUUCCCAACCAGGGCGGGUUUAGUUGUUGCUGGCUCUGGGAGCAGCUACUGGAAUUGAAGGUCGGGGCCAAGGAUGCUAAGCAUCGUCCUGCCCCAGAGGCCAAUCACGGCCCAGUGGUGAAACGCUGACUGCUGCAUAGAUUAUGGCAACAAAAUAUUACUCUUCAGGAGGACGGAGCCAUCGGCUGCGGGAAGGACAGAGUGAGAGAAUCCACAGCCGUUUCGCUCAUCUUUGUGGACCCUGUUGCUGACUAUCAAGUGGGGCCAUUCUCUCCCUUUGCAAUAACAUGGUGUGAAUUUUAUUGCCUCAGGAGAGGCACAGGGCAGGGAGGAGGGCAGAGUUAGCCAGUCAAAUGUUUGCCUGUUUUACUUGUCCACACACCUGAGCUCAGCGAGGAGCACACGACGAUCAGGAGGACACAGGGGCCCUGGAGGAGCAGGGGCAGGAGAGGCUCCCCCGUCGGAGGUCCGCGAGGGCCAGAGCGGUGCUGAGAAGCUACGUGGGAAACAAACACUGCUCCAUGGUGGAGCCCUAGGAGGGGCAAACCUCAGAAAAGUUGCCACCAUUAUGUGCAAUCUGAUGUCUUGGUUUCCCAUUUUUGGCCUGAAGAACUUCAAGUAAUUGUUUUCUCGUGGGGAGACUGAAUGGUAACUUUUUAAUUUCCAGAUGUCUUCAUUUUAUCCUGAUGCUUAAUUAACAAUAACGCUAAAUUCAAAAAGUCUUUCCCUAGACCUUUGAAGACAUUACUGCACUUUCUUCUAUUUUCUUACUUUUGUCUACUUGCUCUAAAAUAGAUUGAGAGAGGUGAACUGAAGGCUCCAUCUCUAGUGGGUUUCUAUUUCUCCUUGCAUCUCCUACAGUUGUUGCUUUAUCGAUAUUGAUGCUAUGUUAUUUGGUGCAGAGAUUUUAUACCUUCAUUGCAAAUUCCCCCUUUAAUAUUAUAAAGUAUCUUGUUUUAAUGCUUUUUUUGGUCUAAAUUCUGACAUUACUACAAGUCUGGCUUUGGUUUUUCUCUCAGGCCCAAAUACUCUCACGAGGAAGCAUCUUGAGGGAACUCCACUGAUGGUUGCUCCACAGCCAGCUCCUCCCUUUGAAUCCGCUGCUGCUGAGCCUAGAGCUUAUCUGAGGCUUCCUAGAAAGAACCUGGCUUGGCUUUGGUGUCCUGAGAUGCAAUUUCUUCUCUUUUGAUUUUUACAGGAAAUUUCAACCCAUUUGCUUUCUAUUUUCCAGGUAGUCCUCAAAAUUUCUGGCACACUGACGAGACUGUAAUCGUUUUCUACAGAUAUAGUUCUGUGAUUUUGAAAAGUGUCUGUGUUGGAAUUUCAGUGGGAGAUGAGAGAGUGGGGAUUAAUCAUGUGUCACAGCGUACAUCUUGACCUGGAAUCUUUCCUGCAAGAGAUUCUCAAUUGUUCAAGGCAUUUUACAGCUAGUGGGUGAUAAUAUUUGCAGUAAGUCAAUUUUUUCUUUCUAUGAUAAAUACACAAGCAGAGAGUUAUAUGUUCAAUUUAACUAUAAAGAC